CUUCGGGGUACUCGAGCGGCGAACGGGUGAGUAACACGUGAGCAACCUGCCCCUGACUCUGGGAUAAGCCCGGGAAACUGGGUCUAAUACCGGAUACGACCGCCCCCGGCAUCGGGUGGUGGUGGAAAGUUUUUCGGUUGGGGAUGGGCUCGCGGCCUAUCAGCUUGUUGGUGGGGUAGUGGCCUACCAAGGCGACGACGGGUAGCCGGCCUGAGAGGGCGACCGGCCACACUGGGACUGAGACACGGCCCAGACUCCUACGGGAGGCAGCAGUGGGGAAUAUUGCGCAAUGGGCGGAAGCCUGACGCAGCGACGCCGCGUGGGGGAUGACGGCCUUCGGGUUGUAAACCUCUUUCAGCAGGGACGAAGUUGACGUGUACCUGCAGAAGAAGCGCCGGCUAACUACGUGCCAGCAGCCGCGGUAAUACGUAGGGCGCAAGCGUUGUCCGGAAUUAUUGGGCGUAAAGAGCUCGUAGGUGGCUGGUCGCGUCUGCCGUGAAAGCCCGCAGCUUAACUGCGGGUCUGCGGUGGAUACGGGCCGGCUAGAGGUAGGUAGGGGCAAGUGGAAUUCCUGGUGUAGCGGUGAAAUGCGCAGAUAUCAGGAGGAACACCGGUGGCGAAGGCGGCUUGCUGGGCCUUACCUGACGCUGAGGAGCGAAAGCGUGGGGAGCGAACAGGA
rnacentral:rRNA from 1 species